UUGCUCGCUUCAGCAGCACAUAUACUAAAAUUGGAAUAAUACAGAGAAGAUUAGCAUGGUCUCUACACACGGGUAACAUGCAAUUCAUGAAGUGUCCCAGGUGAGA
ensembl:snRNA U6 U6 spliceosomal RNA